UUUUAGAGCAAUCAUUUAUAAAAGACUCUAGAGAUGCUAAAAAGAGCAAGGAAAAGUUCAGCAUAGAAUAAAAAGCUGGUGGUCAGAGAUGCUAUUUGCUUAGGUUGCUGUUGUUUCUAGCAGGAGAAAAAUUAACACGAAGUGACCUAGCUAAUCGAUAGAAAAUAUAUGGAAUGAAAAGAAAGAAGAACUACAAAAGGUUCAAGUGAAAGAUCUAAUACGAUGGUCAGCAAACACUGGACAGCUGCUAGACUAGACCCUUCUAUAUAUAAACCAGUGGAGGAUACUGACCAUAUACCCACUCAGCUCAUCAGGCUUGGAGGCUGAAGAACUGGUCCAAUUUGAGCCACCUCUGAUUGAAGACUGAAGAAGAAAGAGUAGAUGCAGAGACCAGACAACAGAAGUGGACUACUGGACACAAUGUGGGCUACUGGACACAAGCCUUCACCCACCCCCCAAGUCCAGCUGCCACCUAUAUUUGUAUCUGUUCCCAGCCUGUGGGCCCAGCAGCCUAAAGGCUCAAAUGAAAAUGAGGAAUGUGAUAAUAUGAUGAUGAAUUGUUCAUGCAUUUCCAUUUGAGAUCCAGUUGAGAGUGAAAGCAUUCUAGGCUACAGCAGACUUUGAUUCAUACAGAUUGGUGCAACACUCCGGAGAGCUCCCUCUACAUACACAAAAGACUUGCAUAAGGGAUACUUCCAAAUAUACUUCUGUACAGUGCUUCCUCUUUAGGGGGAAAAGCGAUG